UGGUGGAUUUAGGAAGAGGUGUCCUGGCUGCCUGGUAGAGCUCCAACAGAAGAAGAUAUUUCCUGUGCCAUGGAGAACUUCUGUGAAUGGUAGGACACAGCAAUGCAGCAAUGCUUAUUUAUCUGUGAGAAGGUGAGGAACCCAUCAGCUGCUAGAGUCCUGAUGCUGAUUCCUAAAGGAAACCUGGCAUCACAGAGUGAGGACAAGAUCAGGUGUGAGGGGCUGCCCUGGCUCUAGUUCAGUUGUUGCAUUUUUAUCUCUGGGGGGAUGUUCAAGGGGAGAGCUGCCAUUGGUGUAUGACUUUAGGGCACCCAGGGCUGCAUUAACCAUGAGAGAUCUUUGACCUUCCACCUGUGUAGGUAAUCAAAGGUCAUCCUGGACUGAGUACAUCUGGUAUUGAGACUCAAUAAGGCUCAGAUUUAGCUCAGAUUUGUACUCAGGACAGAUUCCAGUCACAGACUUUGAGCUGAGGCACUUGUCCCCUGUCAGAAUCUGGAAAUGGGGGGUGGAAAGGUCACAGUGCCCUUGGCACUGAGUAAGAGAAGCAUUCACCUGGUGAUUUAUGCUGAUGUCUGUUGUGGGGCUCAGGGGUUGGGGGGAACUUGCACAGGCUGCAAAAUGGAGAGAUGAAAUGCCUCACUGAAAAGGAACAGCAGGAGCUGGGAGCAACUGGGAGAGGUCUCUGGAGGGAGCAGGGCAGGCACAGCUGAGCUGCCUUUCCCAAAGCCUGCUUAGCAUAGGCCAAGGCCCUCAUUUACUAUUGACUGGAGGGAUGUUUUACAAGUGCCCCUUCUGGUUCAGAGAGAUAUGAAAUCUGUCUGUAAUUAAGUUAAUUUGGAGUUGAACAUGGGCAAAGAUAAUGAGGUGGAAAUAACAAAAGAAGAAAGAUGGGAAGGUGUUGCUAAGGAACAGGUCUUUUGCAUUAAAUCCUCUCCCUUCCCCAGUUAAAUAAAACCAUUUUUAGGAUCUUUAUGGCUGAGUGAUGGGGCAGACAGAGCACAGGCAUGGAAAUGACUGCUAGAUCAAGAGUUCAGAAUAAUAAAGGAGCUAAGAGGAGGGGUGUGACUUGGAGAAUUGAGAAAGGCAGAAAAGGUGACAGCUGUGACCAGCACAAUUCAGUGGGAGAGCAGUGGCUUUGGGCUCAGCAGAAUGGUGUCCUGUGCCUGACUCACCCUUUGUUUGAGGGAAACCCAGUGCCCUGAGCCUCCUCUGGGAAGUGCUCUGAGAUAUGGACACAAGGACUGGCCACGCACAAGGCUUUGAACUUCUGCAGUGCUUGACCCUGCUGAGAAUUCCCACUGGAGCCAAGCAUCAGGGUGAAGCCUUAAUAUUGCUUCUCCUUGGCUUUUAGAAAUGGUGUAAAAUACAAUAUGUUCAAGCCAAAAGGAGGAUGGAAGAGAGGUCCACUGAAAGGACCAGAAUAUUUAACAGCCAGCAAAGCAUAAGCAAAUAGACAAGUCAUUAUCAAUGAGUUUGUUUGAAUUUGACAGAGCUUUCCUGCAAACAUGGGGGAGGCAAGGGGGUGAAGAAUUCCCCACCAGUGUGAGCUGUAAUAAAGGACCUGCUGUUUUCUGAUUCUCACUCUCUGUGAAAAUUGAAAAGGUUAGCCAGGUAAUUGAAAUCGGGACUGGAAUACAAAUAACGCUGUGAAAACCCUACAGCUGGCAAAUAAAGUUGCAGAGAAAAGAAUCAGUUCUCAGAGGAAUUUCUUAGCAGCAAAAAGACUGGAUGGAUGGGGGGAAAGAGAUGAUUUUCAAUAUACCUGUUCCUCCCGAGAGGGAAGACAGGGAAUGAAAUGAGACCAGAAGGAACCAGGCUGAGACUAACACUUAUAUUGUGUUCCUUGCUCUUAAUGCAAGAGACACAGGAAAACUGGGCUGUGCUGAGGCUGAAUCAUGCCUGGCAGUCCUUGCUGCCUCUUGGAGGAGUGCAGUGGGUUUGCUGGGAUUUGCUAGGCUGCCAUGUGAGCCCUAGCUUUGGGAAUAUUUAGGGUUUUAAGCACAGAGAGCCAGCUCCACAUGACUCAGCCCCUUGUCUUGGGACUGGGAUCCAUAACCAAAGCAGAUGUAUCUGGGCCAGUGUCAACUGCUGUUCGUCUUUGUUACACGCAGGAACACAAACUGGUUUGCAUCGUCUUAAGCUAAGAGCUUGCUGUGUCUCAGUUCCAGUGGAAGGGCCUGCCAGUGCUGCUGAAAUGGAAAUUUAUGCCUGCUGCUGUUUCUGUGCUUUGUUUUUUCCGUGGGAGCAGAUAACCUGAGCUGGGAGGAAACAGUGCUGCAGGGCUUAGGGGAAGCUGAGUUUUGUGGUGCUAACCAGGUUUGUUCACACUCAAAAAGACCCUUUUCAUGCAGGAUUUCCCUAACACCAAGCCAGCUAACAAACCCCGGGCUGUACAUGGUUAAAUAAACAUGGUUAAAGAUACCUCCAGGUUCCUGUGUUAAUGCUUUGUUUCCUUGCUCACAGUCUGGUGAGUUUUUCUGUUUCCCAAAACUCUGACUCUUUUAAACUGUGACUCUUGUACUUUUUUUGCUGCAGUUGCCCUGUGAUGUUCAACCCACCUGCACUGCAGUCAACAGCAGCAUGAAAAGACUUCCUUUUGGAGACUUUCCAUUGAGUUCAGGCAGCUGUUUAGCUCUGGCAGGACAGAUCUCUUCCCUGCCCUUGUCAUCUCCAAAGAAGUAAAGGAAAGAAAACUGCAAGGUUGCAAACAAAUGCUGCAAAUUCUACACGAGAAUUUUGCUAGAGCUUUGCUGGAAUUUCUCUGCCUUUGGAGUGCAGCCCAGGUGUCCCAGAGGCAGCAGCCCCAGAGCAAUGAACAAAGUGGGAGGUGAGCCCCUGAGGAUGCUCUCCUCCCUCUGUUCAGUGGUGAUUUAGCUGUGAGCCAUUUGCUUUGCUCAUUUGGAGCAUGAUUUUCCUCCUGAGUCAUUUCUGAGGGAGUCUCUUGGGUUCUGAAGAAAUGAAACAAAUUGGAAGGGUCUGAUAAACAUACCUGCUCUGCAACAAAGAGCACACAGCACUCCAAGGUGACUUGUGCCUGGCUGUGUUUUUCAGCUGCAGAAGUUAUGCAUAAAAACUACCUGUAAAGCACCUAAAAUAGGUCAGAUAAAUUGGUUUUAGCACAGUUUUUUUCCCCCCUCAUUUGACUAGAAAAAGGAAUACAGUUUUCCUCUGAUGGAGAUCAUGUUGUACGCAUCUGAGUCAAAGGGUCUUCUGGAAGACCCACAUCUAGCCAAAAAAUCAAACAACAUCCUGUUCCUCUGGGAAGGAGCUUGCUGCAUUUCAUAAAUAGUGUAAGCUGAGGAUGCAAGAAAAAAGUUAUUAGGGAUUUUACAAUAAGAACAUCAGUAUUUUAUUCUUGAAUUAGCUAUCCUAGUGGGAAGCAAAUUAUUCCAACAGCUCCCAUACACCUAAAAUUAAUCCUUCUUUAAAAAUUAAGUGGAUUUAAGGUAAUUUGCCUUUAAGGCAUCAGCUACAGCUUUUCAGGGUUUCAAGAAAUCUAGAUGGUAAAAGAAAGUCUUCUUCUGCUGGUAGCAAAUGAGCUUAGCUCUGUCUGGGUAUGACCAAGGCAGGCUAUUGAUUAACCAGAACGUAAAUGGAAAGAAAUGUUGAGGAAAAUGAACAACCCUUGACUCUUCUGGAGAGGUUCUUACAUUAUGGUCCAUUUUGUACGUGGCAAAUUCCUUUUCCAGAGUCAGGGAAUCGUGCACAAGAUGUUCACUGUCUCUUGGUGCAUGGUGACCUGCCCUAAUAACCUCAAAAGUGUGUUUUUCCCAGGGGAGGAAACCUGCAGGGCCCAGAUUGGGCAAUUUUCUGCAGUUUCUUUGGGAAUUUUUUUAACCCCCAGCUCACUCUGAAGGACAUUUGCCAUCAUUGCAUUGACUUGGACCAAAUUCUAAACUCGAAAUUUAAUCCUCACAAGAGCUUGUUUGAUUUCUCGUUCAUUCUCCUUUCAUUAUCAUAUUUCUCCUUACAUUAAUAUCCAUUUGAUAUGGAAAUGCCGCAGCUCAGCAAUUUGCUAGUUUGUAGAAAAAGAAACCUCAGUGGGGAAAAUAUUAACAAGUGUCAUAAUGAAAGCAGAGAAAAUGAGACAGCUGUGAGAAAACAGAGGCAGAGCAGGCCUGGCUGUUCCAGAGGCUGGGAAGGAGCAGUUUCUGCUUUGGGACCCUCUCCUGGCUAUGACAAGAGAGUUUUGUGCUGCCCAGUUUAUAACCUCCUCCCUGUAGGAGCAGUUCUGCAGAAAUCUUGGAUGCCACAAGGCCCGUGGGGAUUUGUGCUGGUUUUGUGCAAAUAUACCAGCUGAAAUAUGUUUUGUUUUUUUAAAGACUGUGACUUGGAAUGAGCUCCUGGUGUCCUGCACUUGGUGCUGGCUGAACAUCUGGGGAAUGUCCAUCUUCUGCUCUGCUGCUCACAUGGAAUCAGAGGGAGAAACAAGAAACAUGAGGAUUUCUGGAGCACGGACCAGGCUUAGGUCUAAUUUUGCAAAAUAUUAAUUGAAACUAUGUAAAAGACCCCUCAAGAGCCUCCAGAGAUUGGGGAUAGUUUAACCCAUUCACUGCCUCAAGGAUCUGCUCUACGGUGUGGAUUUCUGGCAGAUAAUCCAUGUUUUUUUUCCCUGGUAAAUCCCAUCAUUCCACUCCACACUGCAGCAUACCUGAGGUGAGUAAACCCUUCUGAAGUAGCCACCAAAUUGGCUUCAUUUUUCUUCUUGCACAUUAACCUCUGUAAAGAAACUGAAGUGGAAGAUUGAGUCUGUUCAGCUUGAACCCAGCCUUACAGAAAAGGAAACCAGAGAGGUUUGAGUUAUUUACUAAAAAGCCAGAAGGGCAGUAGCACCCACUGUGAUCUCUGUGAGAGGAAGCAGUGGGCUGUGCAAACUCAUCAGGUCACCUCAAAGUGUGGAUGUGCCAGGCCCAGCUGUGCCUACUUCCACUUGUUUUCAAUCCUUUCUGAUCCUGCUGAGCUCGGAUGCUGAAAGUCUGUAAGAAUAGAAGCAGAAGAAAACCAGAUAACCCAUGGACCAAUGUUGCUAUGACCACGACUGUGUUGCAGAUGGAGAGGACAAAGAGAGUGGAAAAUACAUUUCAGUUUAUUUCUCAAAGCUUUAUUUGUGUUCUAUAUCAUAUCUGUCUCAAUAAGGAUAGAAGAAUGUAUCCAACCAAAGACUUGCUCUGGCUCUAUAUGAAUGGAAAUAUUUUAUUUUUACAACCGAGACAGAAAAUAAAAACAGA